UAGGGAAUCUUCGGCAAUGGGGGGAACCCUGACCGAGCAACGCCGCGUGAGUGAAGAAGGUUUUCGGAUCGUAAAGCUCUGUUGUUAAGGAAGAACGAGUGAGAGAAUGGAAAGUUCAUGCUGUGACGGUACUUAACCAGAAAGGGACGGCUAACUACGUGCCAGCAGCCGCGGUAAUACGUAGGUCCCGAGCGUUGUCCGGAUUUAUUGGGCGUAAAGCGAGCGCAGGCGGUUAGAAAAGUCUGAAGUGAAAGGCAGUGGCUCAACCAUUGUAGGCUUUGGAAACUGUUUAACUUGAGUGCAGAAGGGGAGAGUGGAAUUCCAUGUGUAGCGGUGAAAUGCGUAGAUAUAUGGAGGAACACCGGUGGCGAAAGCGGCUCUCUGGUCUGUAACUGACGCUGAGGCUCGAAAGCGUGGGGAGCGAACAGG
rnacentral:rRNA from 1 species